rnacentral:tRNA from 1 species
UCAUAGCUCAGGGGUAGAGCACUUGCCUAAUAUGCCCAAGGUCCUGAGAUCAAUCCUCAGCAUAAA